UACGUAGGCAGCAAGCGUUGUUCGGAGUUACUGGGCGUAAAGAGCGCGCAGGCGGUCGUUCAAGUCGAGUGUGAAAGCCCCCGGCUCAACUGGGGAGGGUCACUCGAUACUGAUCGACUUGAAGGCGGGAGAGGGAAGCGGAAUUCCCGGUGUAGUGGUGAAAUGCGUAGAUAUCGGGAGGAACACCAGUGGCGAAGGCGGCUUUCUGGCCCGUUCUUGACGCUGAGGCGCGAAAGCUAGGGUAGCAAACGGG
rnacentral:rRNA from 1 species